rnacentral:ncRNA from 1 species
CUAGUUGAUCCUGCCAGUAGUCGUAUGCUUGUCUGAAAGACUAAGCCAUGCAUAUCUAAGUAUAUGCCGUAUAAGGCGAAACCGCGAAUGGCCCAUUAAAGCAGUUGCAGUUUCUUGGAUCGUACCUUACUACUUGGUUAAGCAUGGCAAUUCUACAGCUAAUACAUGCAGCAGAGCUCCGACCCUCUAGGGACGAGCGCUUUUGUUAAACCAAAAUCAAUAGGACCUCGUCUCCGUAUUAUGCGGUGACUCUGUAUAACUUUAGGCUGAUCGCAUGCACUCGUGCCGGCGACGUAUCCUUCAAGUGUCUGCCUUAUCAACUGUCGAUGGUAGGUUACGCACUUAUCAUGGUCGUGACAGAUGACGAGGAAUCAGAAUUCCAAUCCGGAGAGAGAGCCUGAGAAACGGCUACCACAUCCAAAGAUGGCAGCAAGCGCGCAAAUUACCCACUAACGGGGAGAUAGUGACGAAAAAUAACAAUACCAGACUCUUUUGAGACCCCGUAAUUGGAAUGAGUACAGUCUAAAUUGUUUAAUGAGGAUCAAUUGAAGGGAAAGUCUGGUGCCAGCAGCCGCGGUAAUUCCAGCUCCAAUAGUGUGUGAG